rnacentral:lncRNA from 1 species
ACCAAUUCUUGGAAACUACUAAUAUUAGCGAUAUUUUGGAGAUCCAAAACCUUAGCUUGUGCAUGGUCCAAACUUCACUGAGCACUCAAGUAUAAAUAAGUUUUACAACUCCCUAACGGAAAACUUAAUGACUUCAACUUAAAUUGCAUACUAACCUAGAAUUUGGGCUACUUAGUAAUUAAAACCUUGUGUGCUUUUGAAAUUCUUAUCAGUUAUGUACUUGAAAUUAGACUUUCAUU